rnacentral:lncRNA from 1 species
GAGUGAAGGCUGUAAUUGCAAAGAUGUUUUCACAUGGGUGAAUUGGAAGCCCUAUGGAUGAAAAGCAAACGACGGAAUAGGGCCCUGGAUUGCUUGGCUGAAUGGAAGGGAAAAUGAAACAAGCUGAAGACUAUAGGAUGUCAACUGUGGAUACAACUCACAAGCUACCAUAUUGAUGUGACAUGAUGAAGUGGGAAGGAAAGCCAUCUGGAGUUUCACUGGUGAAUUGAUACAUCUUGCACUUAACAUUGUGUAUCCCCUGGACUUUGAUCAAAUGGACAUGGGCUUUCUGAUCUACUGCAGAGUGCCUGGAAAUUCAGGUAUUUAGUUAUGCUUAUUUUGCAGUUUCCGCAUAUAUAAUGGAGCCAUGUAUAUUUUUAAAAUUUAUUUCUGACUUGAACAACUACUGAUGAAGAACCUACUGUGUGCAUG